CUCCUUCAAACCCCUCAACUUCCUCAAAUCAACAAGCAAGGCAAGCUAGGGUUCCGUGAUUUUUGGUUUGGGUCUGAGCAUCGGUUGAUCUUGUUCCGACGGGCCUCUCCUCUUCUCGAUUCCUCUUCGAAUCCAGAUUAGUUAUGUCGACGAGGAGAUCACGCCUCCCGAGGACCCGCUCAGCUACUCAGUCGCCUGAGAGGGAGCGUCCAUCUUUCAUCGGGUCGUCUUCUCGGCUCAAUGAUAUGGUCAAGGCUCUGCUAUCUGAUGAUGACCCAGAUCAAGCUCUGCUUUGCAUAGAAAUUGACUCUCUCUUCUUCUUUGUGAAUGCGAUGAUUGAUAUGCUUCUCGUCCGUGGACUUUCCUUCCAUCAAUUUAGACCAACGCUUUCCGCCAAAAUAAAUGCUAUAGAGAAAGCGGGCUCUCUGGAUCUGGCGCAAGCUAUAGCUGGCGACUUGGACCGGCUAGAGUGCGAGUUCCAACGGUUACAAGAGUUGAAGACUGCUGGUACUUCAACGUACAUAGCCGCCCAGAUGGAAUCUUGUUUACAAGUAUGGCACGACAUUCGAGCCUCCGCUGGGCUUGAGAUUCAAGCGCAAUAAAGUCGGGUGGAUCAGAUGAAAGCCGCCCUUGCUGAGAAACAAACAUCUUUGUGUCAACUCAAAUCCUCUAUUACGUUAGGUGAGGCUAAGAUAGAGAGACUCAAAGAGGAGCUCAAGGCAGAGGAGGAGGCCCUAGUUAUCUUGGAGAAGACGAAGGCUGAUUUGGAGCGCUCACAGGUCGUGAUAUCCGGGAAGUUGGGGCUCUCGGAACAGAAGUUAGUCAAGAUCAAAGAAGAAGCUGCGAAAACGUUAUCCCUUACCGAGGAAUCCUUCAAGGUUGAAUUGCAGUGCGAGCUUGAGCGAACUUAUACAGAGGAGUUAACUAGACUUGAGCAGCAAAUCCGUAGUCACAAACUUCAUGUAGAUUGAUCAUAACUCUUGUACCUGCAAACUCAAUUUUUAUUAA